rnacentral:rRNA from 1 species
AUUGAACGCUGGCGGAAUGCUUUACACAUGCAAGUCGAACGGCAGCAUGGACUUCGGUCUGGUGGCGAGUGGCGAACGGGUGAGUAAUGUAUCGGAACGUGCCCAGUCGUGGGGGAUAACGUAGUGAAAAUUACGCUAAUACCGCAUACGAUCUAUGGAUGAAAGCGGGGGAUCGCAAGACCUCGCGCGAUUGGAGCGGCCGAUAUCAGAUUAGGUAGUUGGUGGGGUAAAGGCCCACCAAGCCAACGAUCUGUAGCUGGUCUGAGAGGACGACCAGCCACACUGGAACUGAGACACGGUCCAGACUCCUACGGGAGGCAGCAGUGGGGAAUUUUGGACAAUGGGCGGAAGCCUGAUCCAGCCAUUCCGCGUGCAGGAUGAAGGCCCUCGGGUUGUAAACUGCUUUUGUACAGAACGAAAAGGUUUCUACUAAUACUAGGAGCUCAUGACGGUACUGUAAGAAUAAGCACCGGCUAACUACGUGCCAGCAGCCGCCGUAA